rnacentral:rRNA from 1 species
GACGAACGCUGGCGGCGGGCUUAACACAUGCAAGUCGAACGGAAAGGCCCUGCUUUUGUGGGGUUCUCGGGUGGCGAACGGGUGAGUAACACGUGAGUAACCUGCCCUUGACUUUGGGAUAACUUCAGGAAACUGGGGCUAAUACCGGAUAGGAGCUCCUGCUGCAUUGUGGGGGUUGGAAAUUUUCGGCGGGUGGGGAUGGACUCGCGGCUUAUCAGCUUGUUGGUGGGGUAGUGGCUUACCAAGUCUUUGACGGGUAGCCGGCCUGAGAGGGUGACCGGCCACAUUGGGACUGAGAGACGGACCAGACUCGUACGGGAGGCAGCAGUGGGGAAUAUUGCACAAUGGGCGGAAGCCGGAUGCAGCAACGCCGCGUGCGGGAUGACGGCCUUCGGGUUGUAAACCGCUUUAGCCUGUGACGAAGCGUGAGUGACGGUAAUGGGUAAAGAAGCACCGGCUAACUACGUG